rnacentral:rRNA from 1 species
AACGAACGCUGGCGGCGUGGAUAAGACAUGCAAGUCGAACGCUGAUUUCAAGGUAGCAAUAUUUUGAAGUUGGAGUGGCGCAAGGGUGUGUAACACGUGGGUAAUCUGCCGUGAAGCCUGGGAUAACUUGCUGAAAGGCGAGCUAAUACCGGAUGUGAAAAUCGGAAGGCAUCUUUUGAUUUUCAAAGUUGGGGACCGCAAGGCCUGACGCUUUAUGAUGAACCCGCGGCCUAUCAGCUAGUUGGUGAAGUAAUAGCUCACCAAGGCUAAGACGGGUAGCUGGUCUGAGAGGACGACCAGCCACACUGGAACUGAGACACGGUCCAGACACCUACGGGUGCAGCAGUCGAGUAAUUUUUCUCAAAUGGGCGAAAGCCUGAAGGAGCGACGCCGCGU